GUCGGUGUACUAAAGUAGGGGUACCUUAGUGUCUCGAACUUGUGCACGGGCAGUCGCAGCAUCCCGCGGCAAGGCUUGCCAGGCGACCGCCAAGAUCCUCCGUGGUUCCUUUGGAACCAUUCAAGAACAAAGUAUCCAAACCAAGGAGACAAGGCCCCGGCAAGAGGAGCUUGCCUGGAAGGAGACAAGACCCCAGCAAGAGGAGCUUGCCGGGGAGGCCAGCCAAGGCAUCUCAAGGAACUUGCCGCAGCGCACCAUGUGUCCCGGCAAGACCCAGUGAGCGACAAGCUCCUUGACACGACAAGAUAAUAACCGCGGCAAGGCGCUUGCCGCGGCAAGCUUCCAUCCUGUACCUGCGCUCCAGCACAUCCACCAACGUGUCGCUCUGGGACCCUUCCAGGCGUACGUGGCGGAAGGCUGUGCAGCCAGAGGUACACGGUGGCGAGCGGCGCUGACAAGAUAGCCAUCGUGGCAAGUAGUGGCAUCCCUGGCGGUCCCUUUCUGCACCGUCUAGGCGACGCAGACGGGCAUUUAAUGCCUUUGUCCCCUGCCGCUUAGGUUAGGUAUGAUAACACUGUUGUAGGCGGCGGUGCCAACCAUGGGGUCUUUUCCAUUUUUGCCCUUCUCUACAUUACCACCUGUCGGUGACCCCUUUAGCGUAUAAAAGGAGGCCCAUGCGCAACGUAGAAGGGGGACGAUUCUCUCUUUCACGCUCGGUCUGGCUAGCUGCUGGUGUGUACUGUAGCAAUCAGCGCUCCCGAGCAAGAACUCAAUACAACCACAAAGCAGGAGUAGGGUUUUACGCAUCCGUGCGGCCCGAACCUGGGUAAACUGAUCGUGUCGCUCGUGCGCUUCGCCUCGAUCUGCUCUUCGUGCACUCUCCGCCCCCCUGCCGAACCGAAAGGGGCCUCGGUCCGCCGCGGUCCCAUAGGUGUCCGUGGGAUCAGCACCCCCAACAUCUUUGGCGCGCCAGGUAGGGGGUGCGUCGAGGCUGUGUGAAUGUGAUCUGGCGGUCGCACCAGCCGAAUCUUCAUCAUCUUCAUCAACAUGCCGCCGAAGAAGAAGGCUUCGGAGGCAACUGCUCCGUCUGCGCCGAGCCCACCACCGCAAGAGCGAACGGCUGGUGGAGUAGACGCCGGCGGGAGAACAGGCGCCAACGAGGAGGCUCAUGGUGCUGCCAGGUCCAAGGACAAGACUGCGCUGCACAUCGGCAGCGCAGUCGGCUCCCACAACGACCGAGCGCACUCCAAGACCUCGGCGUCCGUACACGCACCGCGCCCAUCUCAGGAGGUGCGGGACCAGCAGCGUCAUGGUACUCACGGUACCAUACGUUUGCUGGGCCAAGAUCAAGCUGGCGGAUCCCGGAGUGCUCAAGACCAGCAUGCACGCCAACAUGCUGGCGCGAGCGGGGCACGGUCGCCUGGACGAGAUACUGCUCCUUCUAACGUAGUUAGAAGUCCGAGCAUAUCCCGUUCAUCGCGCCGUUCGCCGCCGCCGCCCGCCACUCCGGCAGAAGCUUUGGCACAAGCUCAACUGCUCCUAGAUUACCCUCCAGCACCAGAGAAGAUUGAUGACUGGAGGGCCACUAUCCAGAGCCUCAUCGGCUUCGCCAACGGCGAUGACCCACGGCAGCCGAGCGCAUCGCAGCCGCGACAAGUCAGUCAGGUGCGAGCCGGUGGCGACAAGACCGGGGAGGGUGCAACCACUAUGCACUCUCCACCUCGAAGGCCAAGAUCGCCGACUCGCCGGAUCCACCUUGACAGCGACUCCACCGCGUCAUAAGACCCGCGAGCUCGUCGUGAUCAGCGCCAAGUCCUUCAUGAACGACAGCAAGAAGACGCUCGAACACACAUCGAGCGCCGAAGAGAAGCGCGGCGUCAAUCAGACCUGCGCGUUGGGCCCUCUGUUGACAUGCACGCGCUAGGAGAACCAGGCGACUUGCCGUACACGGUAGGUUGCCCUGCGUUUACCCGCGAGCUGCGGCAAGUCUAGUGGCCCAGCCAGAAGCAUUUCAAGCCAGACGUACCGGAGAAGUCCGACGGCAAGUCGCACCCGUCAGAGUUCCUCAGCAUCUACACCAUUGCGGUGCAAGCUGCCGGGGGCGAGACGACAAGGUCCUUGCCAACUACUUCCAGCUGGUGCUCAAGCCCGAAGUCAGGUCCUGGCUCAUGCACUUGCCGGACAACUCCAUAUCCUCUUGGGUGGACUUAUGCCAUCAGUUUGUCGGCGCCUUUACAGGCGGCCACAAACCUCAUGGCCAGGAAAGUGAUCUUCACCUGCUCGCCCAGAAGGAAGGAGAGCCCCUGCGCAAGUAUAUCCAGAGAUUCAGCCGUGUACAGCGCAACAUCCCAAAUAUCCACCCUGCCGCGGUUAUUAGCGCGUUCCAUCAGAACGUGCGUAAUCGCAGGAUGCGGGAGGAGAUGGCGAUGAGCAGGAUCAGAGACGUCAGUGAGCUAUAUGCCCUGGCCGACAAGUGCGCACGCACUGAGGAAGGGAGGAAACUCCCCGGAGAGACUGCAGGAGCAGGAGGGUCUGACAGUGAGGAUGCCGCCCCGGCAAAGAAAAACCGGCGGCGCAACAGGAAGAAGAAGGGCAAAGAGGUGCUAGUUAUUGAGCAGUCCGGCAACGACGGUGGCGCCAAGCAAGCCAAAGUUGGUAGCUCCGGCAAGGAGGUUGCCGCGUGCACCAACUGCAGGCUGUGGCAGCUGCCGACAAGCAGUAUUGCAAGAUUCACCGCACCAAGGGCCAUGACCUCCAGAGCUGCAAGAAAGUCGAGCAGCUUGUCCAGCAACAAAAGGCUGAGUAUGAGCGGCGCGACAAGGAGAGGGCCCAAGGAGGCGGUGGAGAAGCCGGCAAGAAACGCGCCGGCCGGGGAGGACGCCGCGGCAAGGCCAAGCAGCGGCACGGAGAUAGACCUCCCCGCGGCCGCGACAAGGAUGAAGACAAUCAUGACGACGAAGACAUGGAUGAUGUCGAGAACAGUGAGCAGGAGUUUCAGAAAGCUACAGAAGUCUUGUGCGUUGACGGCGGUGCUUCUCUGCAUACUUCCCACCGCCAACUCAAACAGUGGCUGCGGGAAGUUAAUGCAGCAGAGCCACCUGUCGAGUCGCGCAAGCUUCUGAAAUGGUCCAGCACACCUAUCAUCUUUGACAUUGAGGACCACCUUGAUCACACAACUGCGGUCGGGUGCUUGUCGUUGUUGGUUUCGCCAACAAUCCGCAACCUCAAAGUCACUAAGAUGCUAGUUGACGGCGGGGCCGGCUUAAAUCUGAUCUCCUCCGCUGUGCUCCAGAAACUCCAGAUCCCUGACAGCGAGCUCGAAGAGACCGGCACGUUCCAAGGAAUUAACCCGGGAAGGAGCAAGCCGAAAGGGAAGGUCACGUUGCCGGUGACAUUUGGCAGCGAGCUGAACUUCAAAACUGAGAGGGUCACUAUUGACGUUGCCGAUUUCCCAUUGCCUUACAAUGGAAUACUUGGCCGUCCAGCACUCGCCAAGUUCAUGGUAGCCUCUCACUAUGCAUACAACAUGCUCAAGAUGCCAGGCCCGAUAAGUGUCAUCUCUGUCCCUGGCGACAAGAAGGAUGCCCUCUGUGCCGACAAGAUCUAUCGGGAAGCAGCAGCUGCAACAGAUCGUAAGACACUUGCCGCUGAAGCUCCCGGGGGGAAGAAGAAGACCAAGUCCGGCAAGAGCUCUGAUGCCCACUCCGGCAAGCGCACCUCCUCAGAGUGCUGCGCUGCCGUCGAGGAAGCACCAUUGAGCUCCACCGGCAAGUGUAAGAAGGCAAUGACAGCUCCACCACAUACCAAGAAGGUGUCCGCCAAGGAGGACGGCACUGGUGGUACCUUCACCGUCAGUGCCACGCUUGACCCUAAAUAGGAAAGCGCGCUCGUUGCUUUCCUGCGGGCGAACGUCGACGUGUUUGCGUGGCAGCCGUCUGACAUCCCCGGUGUUCCCAGGAAAGUAAUUGAGCACCAUCUUGCCUUUUGUCCUCAUGCGCGGCCCGUCAAGCAGAAGGUCGGGAAACAAGCAGUGGAGCGCCAAGAAUUCAUAGCAGAAGAAAUCAAGAAAUUGGAAGCGGCAUGCCUUGUCAGAGGAGUGCUCCAUCCCACGUGGUUGGCCAAUCCUGUUGUAGUGCGCAAGGCAAAUGGAAAAUGGAGGCUUUGUAUUGACUCUACUGAUGUUAAUAAAGCUUGUCCCAAAGACCCAUUUCCCUUGCCGUGCAUUGACCAGAUUGUUGACUCCACAGCCGGAUGUGAUUUGCUUUCAUUUCUUGACGCAUAUUCAGGAUACCAUCAGAUCUUCAUGGCAGAAGAGGAUGAGGAGAAAAUAGCAUUCAUUACUCCAUGUGGCACAUACUGUUUCAUACGGAUGCCUUUCGGAUUAAAGAAUGCUGGUUCAACAUUUGCAAGAGUAGUCCAUGUCGCUUUGAAGCCACAGAUACACAGAAAUGUAGAAGCCUACAUGGAUGACAUAGUGGUCAAGAGCAAAGACAGGGCAACCUUAAUUCAAGAUUUAGACGAGACCUUUGCAAAUCUGCGCAAGAUCAACCUCAAGCUCAACCCCGAGAAGUGUGUGUUUGGAGUCCCUUCCGGCAAGCUUCUCGGGUUCUUUGUGUCUCAGCGGGAAAUUGAAGCCAAUCCCGACAAGAUCAAGGCCAUCGAGCAGAUCGAAGUACCGAAGCGCGUCAAGGAUGUACGAAGACUUGCCGGCUGCGUGGCUGCUCUCAGCAGGUUUAUCUCUCGGUCUGCUGAGCGCGCCCUGCCAUUUUUCAAAAUUUUGAAAAAGGCAGGUCCAAUGAAAUGGACUCCGGAAGCGGAGGCUGCGCUGCAGGACUUGAAGAGAUACCUGUCCUCCACUCCAACACUUGUCGCACCUAAACCGCAAGAGAAGUUGCUGCUGUAUAUAGUGGCAACCAAUCAAGUGGUUAGUGCUGCGUUAGUGGCAGAGAGGGAGGCAGAUAAUGAGCCAGCAACUGCGGCAAGCGCAUCCAGCGACAAGCAAGGGGCUUCCCCGACAAGCUCUGGUCCCGACAAGGAUGGAUCUGCACAGGCAUGCGAAGAGGUGCAAAAGAGAAUGGUGCAGCGCCCAGUCUACUUUGUCAGUUCCCUUCUGCAGGGGGCUAGGUCAAGGUACUCUGGUGUGCAGAAGUUGCUUUUCGGCCUUCUUAUGGCCUCGAGAAAGCUGCGCCAUUACUUCCAGGCACAUGAGACCACAGUUGUCACUCGCUUUCCGCUGAAGAGGAUACUGCAGAAUCCAGAAGCGACAGGAAGGAUUGUCGAGUGGGCAUUGGAACUGUCAAGCUUUGGUCUCAAAUUUGAGAGCACUUCAACUAUCCAAAGCAGAGCAUUGGUAGAAUUCAUAGCAGAGUGGACGCCAACACCAGACGAAGAAAUUCCAGAGACAAGCAUCCCCACCAAGGAAACAAACAAAGAGUGGCUCAUGUACUUUGACGGUGCCUUUUCGCUGCAAGGCGCCAGUGCUGGUGUGCUGCUUGUCGCACCCACCGGAGAGCACCUCAAGUACAUAGUCCAGAUGCACUUUCCCAAGGAGCAAGCGACAAACAAUACUGCAGAGUAUGAAGGCUUGCUUGCCGGUCUCAGGAUCGCGGCAGACCUUGGGAUUAAGAAGCUCAUUGUCAGGGGUGACUCGCAGCUUGUCGUCCGCCAAGUGAACAAGAAUUACUAGAGUCCUUUGAUGGAAGCCUAUGUUGACGAAGUGAGAAAGCUAGAAGAGCACUUUGACGGCCUGCAGAUGGAGCAUAUUCCGAGAGCUCAGAAUGACAUUGCCGAUGGCCUGUCAAAGUGCGCCGCACUUAAGUUACCUGUGGAACCAGGGAUCUUUGUGCUCAAGCUAACUCAACCGUCUGUAACACCGUCAACUGGACAGAGCAAGAAAAUGAAGUUGAUUUCUGGCGGCUAUUUUCCGGCAGAGCUUCCCGAAGCCGCCGCCAAGAAGGUCCCCAAGAUCAACGCAAAGAACGCUGAGGAGCAGUCUGCUCCGGCAAGCCCUGGGGUUUGUUCCGUCGAAGCAGACGCUCCCGACAAGUUUUGCCCCGGCAAGCUUGCCGGGGAACGUCAAGCUCCGGCAGGGCUACAGGCUCUUGCCAUAGAAGCGGAUGUUCCCGCAGAAGCAGAUAUGCCUUUAGUCCUCGUUGUCGAGCCGCAAGCUCCAACAUGGGCACAGCAGAUUGUCCGUUUUCUCCAGACAGGAGAACUUCCCGAAGAGCAAGAAGAAGCAGAAAGAGUAGCCCGGCAGUCUAGUAUGUACCAGUUUGUCAAUAACACACUAUGCAGAAGAAGACUCAACGGUGUGAAAUUGAAGUGUAUUCCCUGGGAAGAUAGACAAAAGCUGUUGGCAGAGAUACAUGGAGGCAUAUGUGGUCACCACAUUGGCGCAAGAGCACUUGUCAGCAAAGCAUUCCGGCAAGGUUUCUUCUGGCCGACAGCCCUACAGGAUGCAACUGCACAAGUAACCAAGUGUGAAGCGUGCCAGUUCCAUUCCAAGCAGAUACACCAGCAGGCUCAAGCUCUCCAGACGAUCCCUUUAUCCUGGCCAUUUUCGGUCUGGGGGCUCGAUAUCCUCGGCCCCUUUCCCCGAGCUGUCGAGGGCUUUGAGUACUUGUACGUUGCGAUCGACAAGUUUACAAAGUGGCCGGAAGUGGAACCAGUGAGGAAUGUGACAGCACAGUCAGCAGUCAAGUUCUUCAGGUCGAUUGUUUGCCGUUUCAGGAUCCCUAACAGGAUAAUCACCGACAACGGUACGCAAUUUAUGAGCCGCACCUUCAUGCAGUACGUCCAAGAUCUUGGCGCCAAGGUCUGCUUCGCUUCUGUUGCUCACCCAGAAGCAACGGUCAAGCGGAGAGGGCAAAUGCUGAAGUGCUGCGCGGGCUCAAAACCAGAACUUUCGACAGGCUGCACAAGUGCGGAAGAAACUGGAUCGAGGAGCUGCCGGUGGUUCUUUGGUCGAUCAGGACGACGCCAAAUCGAGCCACUGGCCAGACACCCUUCGCUCUAGUCUAUGGAGCGCAGGCAGUUCUCCCACGGAACUCGUAUACGGGUCGCCUCGAGUGCUCGCUUAUGAUGAGAUUGAGCAAGAGCAGCUGCGGCAAGAUGACGCGCUGCUCCUUGAGGAAGACCGUCUUCAGGCUGCUGUGUGAGCUACUCGCUACCAGCAAGCUUUGCGCCGCUACCAUAGCCGCAAAGUUAAUGCCAGAAGUCCCGAGGAAGGCGACCUUGUUCUUCGGCGCGUUCAAUCCGCCAAGAAUUCCAACAAGUUGACGCCGAAGUGGGAAGGCCCUUACCGGGUGAAACAAGUCACUAGGCCUGGCGCUGUCCGCCUUGAGACCGAAGAUGGCGUACCAUUGAGCAACUCCUGGAAUAUUGAGCAUCUUCGCAAAUUUUACCCGUAGAGCGCGGUUGCCGGAACCCGUUCCGGCAACCACCUUUUGUACAAGUCUUGCCGCUGCCGCAUGUAAUCCUUUGUACAAAGCCGGGCGCAGAUCCCGUGCAUAAAGCUUAUGUGCUCAGCACACCUUGUCGAUUUCAUGCCUUUUAUUAUUAUUUGCAUAUGCUAUCUGACAUUUUGUGCAGUACUUACUUCCGGUAAGCAACAACGAGCCAUAAGGCUCCAUACUGUUAUUUCAUCCUCUUUCUUUUUCGCAAGGAAAAGAAGGCUCUCUCACGCACAAGUUUGCCGGGGGGGAAGGAGAAGAUACGAUAUGGACCAGGCGUCGUUCAAGAAAGUUUCGCCUAGCCGGGAAACAAACAACAGAAAAGAUAAGUUUGCCAAAGUUUGAGCAAUCAGAUUCUUAAAUUUAUAGAGUUAUCUUCCUUGAACGACCGUCCUUUGUAUGGAAAACCUGUGCGCGGAGGGACCAACUCGUAGCUAGUUGCGCCCUUACUGUUGUUUCGAGUCCGCUCAACAACUUAAGUGAGCUGCGACUAGCUCUGCGACAAGGUUUCUUGUCAGCCGCGGCACCGCCUGCAGGCUGCUGACAUUCCGCACUCAGCACUCACAGCAAAGGUGCCCGCGCCGGCAAGUUCCCUAAAAGCAUAGGGUAAAAACAUACAAGGGAAGGAAUCAAGUAAAGGAAAUAACAUAGUCAUUACUAAUCAGGAUAGAGUAUAUUACAAAAAUAACUUGUCGCAGCUCUAACAGACUGUUUUUCAUGACAUGAUUGACAGCGACAAGGAAAGAAGAAGAUGGAUGGCCUAGUCUACGCGGUCACCUUCGACCCUCCUGAUUCCGCUCACCCUGUCCACAAUAGGUGCGACAAGGGCCUUGAGCUCCUCCAGAUCAGCAUCUGGCGGCAAGCUUCGGAGGACGUUGGUGAGGCGGAGGCCUGGGUUGCGUAAGGCCACCUUCAUCAGCACCUUCUGGAGAGCUCCCGCGCAAAUCUUGCGCGACUCGUCGGCAAGUUGCUUUGGAAUCUGCUCCCGGAGUCGCUGAAGCGCCGUCGCCACGCCUUUGAAGAACAGAGUCAGCUUGGCGCUGGGUUGGAGGUUCUCGUCGGAGGAGUACACGAGAUCCACCAUCCCCAAUUGCGCCAACUCCUUAUCGACGUCGGCGGCGACAUUCACCAGACCCUCCGUCCAGUGCUCCACGUUCUCCGACAAGGUCUUCUGGGCGGCAGCAGCAUUCGCCAGCAGCACCUUACCGGCCUCGACUUCCUCCUUCAGGGCCGUCUCCUGCUCUUUGGCUCCGUCCAGAGAUUGCGUCAGAGCCGCUAGCUUCACUUCGAGAUCAACGUUGGAUUUCUUGGCGGCGUCGAGUUCCUUGUCCUUCUCGGCAAAAUAGGCCUGCAGCUCCGAGUAGCUGUUAGCGUCUUUCUCCCGCUCAAGUUUGAGGGCGGCAAGCUCGUCGCCGUUCGCCUUAAGACUCGCCUCCAGCUGUGCCACCUACAGCUCCAGCUCGUUCUUGGCGGCCUCAGCAGCUGCGGCAGCGUCUUCGGCUUGUUUGAGGGCCCCGCCAACUGCCCGCUCGCGCGCGGCAAGCUCCUCCUCGUGGCUGUCGAGGUUGACCUUCCGCUGCGCCAAGUCACCCUCCUGCGAAGACAACUUCUCCGCGACAAGCCGGGGGCGCUCUUCAACGUCGGCCUUCUCAAGGAGGAAGGCCUGCUGCGCUUCAGCAAGUUGCUCCCGCUCCUUCGCGAAUGAGCGGAGAGCUUCCUGAUUGGCACCCCGGAGCUCCUCCACGCGCUUCUCGAUAUCAGCACCGGCCUUCGCGACGAGUGCUUCGCGGGACUCUAGGUUGGCUUGCCGGGCGCGGUAGAGCGCCACUAGCUUGCGCAGCAGACGCUCCUCUUCGGGUUCACCACUGCUGCUACUUGGCGCGUCGACCAGCUUCAGCCCGGCGGAGGCAAGCACCUCUCCGUCAAGCAUCUCUCCCUCGACCGACGCCCUAGAGCUUGACGCCCAGGGGAGGUUGAUGAAGAUAUCGUCGCCGGCUUUCAGGUAGACGCCAGGCUGGGGCUCUCCGGAGCCUGGCGCGGCGGCAGCGGCGGAGGAGUCGGUGGUCGGAGCAGCGCCUGGCGCUCCUGCGGCCUCCGGGUCAUCAGUACGACCACCAGACUCCCCGCCCGCUUCCGGGGCGGCAGCCCUGGCGGCCUCUUCGCCGGCACCAGCUGCUUCCUUGGCGGCAACAGCGUCGUCAGCGGCGACUUCAGUCUCCAUCGGCUCUGGAGUAGAUGGAUCUGACAGCCGGAAGGGGGGAGAAGAAUCAAGCAAAAUUCGAGCAAAAUCCAAAAAAGAAGAUCAAAAGAAGAAGAAGCCAAGGGGAAUUUUGAAACAAGGAAGUUACCUGUGCCAAGGUCUGCAGCUAUGGUCUCCGUUGCCGGGGGAUCGCUGACGCGGUCCCUUGCCGGAGAUCCCUCCCUUGCCGGGGGCUCCUCCCUUGCUGGAGCCUCCUCCCUUGCCGGGGGCUCCUCCCUUGCCGGAGUCUCCUCCCUCGCCGGAGAGCUCUCCCUUGCCGGAGACCUCUCCCUCGCCGGAGGACUCUCCCUUGGCGCUUCAGCGGCGGCCUCCAGGCCCUCUUGAUGAGGCUGCUCUGCUCCUGCACAAGUCAACAAAUAAAUGUCAGCAAAGUAAGGAUCUUCGUGCGCACCCGACAGCGGAAAGCAAGAGAAGAUACUUACGCUAGGGGCUGCUCUGGAGAGCAGUUGCCGGGUCCGGCGGGGUUGUCUCGGGCGCGUCCUCGGCCGACGCGGUGGGCUCGUCCUCGAUGACAAUCACCGGGGCCGUGGAUCUCUUUGCUGCCCUCUGAGCCAGAGUCCUGAAAAGGAACAGAUUCAGAGAAAAGCAAGUCAGAAACAAGACAAGACAAAAACAGCAAAAAUUGAAGAACUGCAAGAACAAACAUGAGAAACUUACUCUUCUUCCUCUUCCUCGUCGGAGCUGAACGCGGAGAAGUCGAAAUCCGGUUCGCGUCCGGCGCGGGAAGGUGGAGGAGUAGGCUCCCUUGGCCGCUUGGCGGGAGCGGAGGCAGCAGUCCGAGAAGACCCCGCUCCAGUUGUUGCGGCAGCGUGGGGCGCUCCCGCGGCAACAGUGCUUGCCGCGGUGGAGCGUGUCGCGCGGCGUGGCGACUGUCGACGUGCCUGCCGCCUCGCUGCAUCCCCGACCUUGCGGAGACGCUUUCUUGGUGGAGACGGAGGCGCUGCUGGCGGCGUGCUGUCUGAGGACGAAGUGGAAGAGGAGCCGAUCUCCAACGAGCCGCUCGCAUCCUUGGCGGGCCCGCUCGAUUCAGCGUCAUGACCGGCAGCCUUGCUCGGUUCGGCAUCGCGCCCGGCAACCUCCUUCCUGCCGGCAAGCUCCUUCUUGCCGGCAAGAUCUUCCCGCUCGGCACGGUUUACCGCCUCUGCUGCUGCUGCCUCCUCCAAGGUAAAGCCAAAUUCGCCCGCCGCAGCGGCUACCGCCGCCUCCUCCAACCUGGUGGCGAUGCGCUUCAACUCCGCCUCGGUGGUGUCGCGGGUGAGGCCGCCCUUCUCGUCGGCGUGGAUUGGCACUUCCACCAAGGUGUCGAAGAACUGCUGCACGACCUCGUCUUCUGGCUCCUGCCAAGUUGGCACGAUUUCGUGCGAAUCGCACAGCGGCAUCAUCGCCCUGAUGCGGUCGAGCACAGAGUUGUUGCAUAGCGGGACGACACCCUGCGGCAACCUGAAGAAUUCUGGGUGGUCAGGAUCAUACUUGAAGAGCUCCUGCAGCAUUGCGUUGAGCUCCAAGACAGUGAAAUUAUAAUUGAGCCCCGGGCGCAGCCUCAUGAUGUCUGCCGCGUUCUUGAAUUCCCAAGCAGGACUUCUCCAUUCUUGCAGGGGGGCGAUACGGCGGCGAAGGAAGUCUGCGCCAACAGCACCUACGGUGAGUCCGGCAAGCCUGAGGCGUUGGAUCCUGGUGACGGAAAUCCUUAGCCUGCUGUCUUCCAGGGCCACGUCACUCCAGUCGCUGCCGCGUACUGCUGCUACUUGGCGCCGAGCGAUGAACGACUGUGGGCUCUCCUCGACAAUCCAACACCAAUCUGCCCUCCACUCCUCCCACUUGCCGCGGAACUCGCCCUCCAAAUAGGAAUCCUUCUUGCCGGUCCUAGAGACCCAGGCGAUUCCGCCGGACAAGGGCUCUCCUCUCUCUACCCGGGGAAUGAAGAAAUGGCGGAAAAGGGCUACAUUAGGGUGGACUCCGACAAAGUUCUCGCAAAGGUGUGCGAAAACGGCCAUGGGGAGGACGGCGUUGGGAGUGAAGUCAAGGAGGCAGAGGUUAUAGGUAUUCAUGAUGUCACAGAAGAAUUCGGAAAAGGGCGGGCAGAGCCCGCAGUAGAAGAAGGCAGCGAAAAAGGGAUAUCCUUGCGGAGCAGUCUUGUGAGCAGCAGCGGGGAGUACCUUGGUGCUCGGGUGAGCUCGCCUCUCCGUCGACUAGAACAGGUAGUAGUACUCCCUCAGCUCCUUCGCGGCGAGCUUGGGGGGGAAGAUGGCUCGCUCCUUCCGCAGCGCCGCAAGCCGCUGCGCCUCGGACGACUUCACGGCUUUCCCCUUGUCGGCUUUCGGAGCCAUGAUGGAAGCGGUGGAGGAGGUCGACGGCGUUGGUGGUGCAGGUGGCAAUGCGGGGGGCAGGGCGCUGUGCUCUGUUUGCUUUGGGAAGACGGAGGCGGGGCGGAGAUUUUCAAGAUUGAAGCGGAAAGGGGGCGAGUGGGCGCACUACCCCUGCUUCCCCUUGCUUAUAAAGGGGGAGUGGGCGGACGUUCCGCCUUUCCAAAUAAAGCAACCACCCACGAUCUCUCCCACGAUGCCGCGUUCGACACGUGCCGCGCGGGGAGGGCGCGGUGGAUGCGGAGUGAGCUACGGCGUAACCUAGGCCGCGCGUGCCCGUGCCCUGUUUUGGGCCUGGCCCAACAGCGCUCGGCACCGUGUAUGGCCCAGGCCCGGGGGCUCCUAUCGGUGUACUAAAGUAGGGGUACCUUAGUGUCCCGAACUUGUGCACGGGCAGUCGCAGCGUCCCGCGGCAAGGCUUGCCAGGCGACCGCCAAGAUCCUCCGUGGUUCCUUUGGAACCAUUCAAGAACAAAGUAUCCAAACCAAGGAGACAAGGCCCCGGCAAGAGGAGCUUGCCGGGAAGGAGACAAGACCCCGGCAAGAGGAGCUUGCCGGGGAGGCCAACCAAGGCAUCUCAAGGAACUUGC
rnacentral:lncRNA from 1 species